rnacentral:rRNA from 1 species
GCCCGAUGAACCUGAAUAUCCAUUAUGGAAAAUUCAUCAUUAGAGUUAUAAUAUUAAAAUAAUAUUAUACAAAUAGUGUGCAUUUUUUCCAUAUAAGGACAUUGUAAUCUAUUAACAUANAAAAUUUAUCAUAAAAUAUGGCUUAUAGUUUAUUCCAAUUAAAUUGCUUGCAUUUUAACACAGAAUAAAUGUCAUUAAUUUGAUAAAGUGUUGAUAGAUUAAUAAGAAUACAGUGCGUUAAUUUUUCGGAAUUAUAUAAUGGCAUAAUUAUCAUUGAUUUUUAUGUUUAUUAUAUGCACUUGUAUGAUUAACAAUGCGAAAGAUUCAGGAUACUUCGGG